rnacentral:sRNA from 1 species
GGGAGGGGUUGAGUGGUGGCAGAGUGAGGGGGAGACACAGUGAGUGGGGGUGACUGGUGACAGAGUGAGGGAGUGGGUGACUAGUGACAGAAUGAGGGAGGGAAGAGAUGACUAGUGGCAAAGUGAGGGAGGGAAGGGGUGACUGGUGACAGAGUGAGGGGGGGGGUGACUGUCAUUAGUCACCUCAUCCCUCUCUCUGUCACUAGUCACUCCCUCCCUAACUCUGUCACUCGCUCCCUCACUCUGUCACUAGUCACCCCCUCACUCUGUCACUGUCACCCCCUCCCUCCCUCUGUGACUAGUCACCCCCUCACUCUGUCACUAGUCACCCCUCCC